AACGAACGCUGGCGGCAGGCUUAACACAUGCAAGUCGAACGGGUGUAGCAAUACAUCAGUGGCAGACGGGUGAGUAACACGUGGGAACCUUCCUAGGGGUACGGAACAACUCAGGGAAACUUGAGCUAAUACCGUAUACGUCCGUGAGGAGAAAGAUUUAUCGCCCUUAGACGGGCCCGCGUCGGAUUAGCUAGUUGGUGGGGUAGCGGCCUACCAAGGCGACGAUCCGUAGCUGAUCUUAGAGGAUGAUCAGCCACACUGGGACUGAGACACGGCCCAGACUCCUACGGGAGGCAGCAGUGGGGAAUCUUGGACAAUGGGCGCAAGCCUGAUCCAGCCAUGCCGCGUGAGUGAAGAAGGUCUUCGGAUUGUAAAGCUCUUUUGCCAGGGACGAUAAUGACGGUACCUGGAGAAUAAGCCCCGGCAAACUUCGUGCCAGCCGCCGCCGUAAUAC
rnacentral:rRNA from 1 species